CGCACAUUGCGCCCCCUGGUAUUCCGGGGGGCAUGCCUGUUCGAGCGUCAUUUCAACCCUCAAGCCUGGCUUGGUGAUGGGGCACUACUUCCUCACGGGAGUAGGCCCUGAAAUUCAGUGGCGAGCUCGCCAGGACCCCGAGCGUAGUAGUUAUAUCUCGCUUUGGAAGGCCCUGGCGGUGCCCUGCCGUUAAACCCCCAACUUCUGAAAAUUUGACCUCGGAUCAGGUAGGAAUACCCGCUGAACUUAA
rnacentral:misc_RNA from 1 species